UCUCCGUAGGUGAACCUGCGGAGGGAUCAUUACUGAGUGAGGGUCUCCGGGCCCGACCUCCAACCCUUUGUGAACCAACACUGUUGCUUCGGGGGCGACCCUGCCUUUCGGGCAGUGCGCCCCCGGAGGAUAUCAAAACGCUGCAUCUUUGCGUCGGAGUCUUAAUGAAUUUAAACAAAACUUUUAACAACGGAUCUCUUGGUUCUGGCAUCGAUGAAGAACGCAGC
rnacentral:misc_RNA from 1 species